AUCUAAACCCAAGGAUACUAUAUAAUCAGCUUAAGUCUGGUGACCAUUGUUUAGCAAACAAUAUUGGCUACAAAACAAUUAUUGUCUACUAAUCAACUUCUUCUUACAUUGGUAGUCUGGUGGCCACUGCAUUUCAAUUAUCUAAACAAUAAUUGAAUAUGUAACCAACUUUCCAAACAAGUCCUUUUUACACUUGUUGUACUGUAAACAACAUUGAUUAUUGUUUUUAUUGGGAAAUCUGCGUAUUAAAUUUUAUAUACUUAGUGUGAUUGGGUGGUUAAUUCGAAAUGGCAGAUUUUAUGCUAUUAAUUUUUAAUGUUAUCAACAAUGAAGAAAGGAUUAGAAUGAAUUUAAACAGAAGACAACUUCGUGAUAUGAGUGAUCCAUUUUCGCUUACUGAAGAAACCUUCAAAGGAAUUUAUAGAUUGUCCCGGCAGCUGACUCGUGAUUUGAUGACAGACUUAUCACCCUUUCUGCAGGAUAAUGAAAGAGUUUUGGGCAUUCCUAAACAUUUAAAAAUUUUGGCCACAUUAAAUUUUUUGGCUCAAGGGUCUUAUCAGAAGGCUGUUGGACAGGACUUCUUCUGUCCAAUGAGCCAAAAGUCUGUAAGUCGAUGUGUAGAGGAAGUAACAGGUGCUUUAGUUGAACAUUUUG